CCUACGGGAGGCAGCAGUGAGGAAUAUUGGUCAAUGGACGAGAGUCUGAACCAGCCAAGUGGCGUGAAGGAUGACUGCCCUAUGGGUUGUAAACUUCUUUUAUAAAGGAAUAAAACGAGGCACGUGUGCCUUUUUGCAUGUACUUUAUGAAUAAGGAUCGGCUAACUCCGUGCCAGCAGCCGCGGUAAUACGGAGGAUCCGAGCGUUAUCCGGAUUUAUUGGGUUUAAAGGGAGCGUAGAUGGGUUGUUAAGUCAGUUGUGAAAGUUUGCGGCUCAACCGUAAAAUUGCAAUUGAUACUGGCAGUCGUGAGUACAGUUGAGGUAGGCGGAAUUCGUGGUGUAGCGGUGAAAUGCUUAGAUAUCACGAAGAACCCCGAUUGCGAAGGCAGCUUACUAAACUGUGACUGACAUUGAUGCUCGAAAGUGUGGGUAUCAAACAGGAUUAGAUACCCGUGUAGUC
rnacentral:rRNA from 1 species